rnacentral:lncRNA from 1 species
CCUGGAUGCUCCUACCCUACGUUCUGCUGAAGGUAUUCUUUGAGCAUGCAGGAACCCCAGCACCCUGCUCCACACUACUGCACUGCAAACUACUGCACUUACACAAGCUGAGCCACUUCUGCCUUUCAAGGCCGGCUGAUGCUACCCAAACACCCAAUUUUGUGGCAGAAAGGAUAUAUGAUUAGAAGUUAAUGCCAGCGUCUCACUGUUCUAGGCUGCGAUAGCAAUUACUGUCUAUGGACAGCUCAUUCAGCCACAUACUGCUCAUACAUAGAUGCACACGUUCUCAUGGCCCUGAGCAGGGAAUGAGGGCUUUUGGCGACCCGUGGGCCAUCCCUUGGGCCAAGGUCAGCUCAGCCGAAGAGCUUUUACUCUUGGUGCAAUGGUGGUAUCUUGUAUGACCACUCACUGCCAACGCCUGCACCGCGUGAGGCAGUGUAAGGGCAAAGCGCAAUGCUCCAUUUCCAAGUGGAACAAAUGAGAGCAUCUGCCAACCUCUGCGUAUGUAUGAGGUCAUUGAGGUUACAUUCCUUCAGGUCAGAAAACAGAACCAGCGUGAUCUCACCCUCGUGCCAGUUUCUCCACAUUGCGGAGUUACCACAAGGCCUGACGACACGCUGCUGCUGGGCCAGGCAGGACGGGACUGUGGGCUUGUCUGCACUGCUGGGAAACAAGCAGCCAGGAAUGGGCACGCACAGGCAACCUGCAGAGCUUGCAGACCACAUUUCUUUGGUGCCUGCUGUCCAGCUGGAACAGAGGUAUACCACUUCAGAGUGUGCAGCCCUGAGGACCACAAAGGGAGAUGGGAGCAGCAUAGUGGAAGGCGGCUAUAAAGCCCCACAGAAGAAUCGCAUUUUCCUACUCCUUGUUUGUUAUUCUAUGUGGCAUACGUGAAAGUCCACGCUUCAUCUUGCAAACCUUACAAAGGUUUGUCCAGGCAGAAAGAGCCCUGCAGAUGCCCCAGGCCUGGCCAGGAGCACCCAGCUCUGCCGGCAGCAACCUGGCAUAGUGCUGCUGGCGGAGCUCAUCUGCAUGGUGAGCCGCACGGGCAGCCGCAGUGCAGUAGAUAUUGGAGACGCUGCUCUGAAGGAAGCACCUGCAAAGCCACCACUGCACUGUAUGAGUCUGCUGGGGGGUGGCAGCAGACAAGAGAGCAUGCAACACGGGCCCCAGCCACAGUGUUUGAAGGCCUGGAAACAGGAAUGCACCCGUUCUCCUCCAGUUUAAUACAGGAACUCCCGAUCCUCCUCAAGAAUACCAGCUGUGACUUGAUGUUAAUGUCAGUGAAUAGCAAAUACUCCCCCUGACAUCAAUCUGGAUCACGUUUAAUUGCAGAAGGAUUGUCUUCAAAUAGGCUGCCGCUGGUUCUAUGUUUAGGACUAUUUUCCAUGCUCACUGAUAGUGUCCUGCUUCUUUCCAGAGCUACAUAACCUGAUGUCCUGGCUAGCUUUGGGCCCAGCCCCGUAAGUCGCACUCCCAUGAAUAAGCCUUAUCCAUGAAUACAGUGAGUCUCGUGUCAUGACAAAAAGCUUUAAUAAAAUGAUGUUCUGUGAGCA